rnacentral:rRNA from 1 species
GAUGAACGCUGGCGGCGUGCCUGAUACAUACAAGUCGAGCGAACUGAUUAGAAGCUUGCUUCUAUGACGUUAGCGGCGGACGGGUGAGUAACACGUGGGCAACCUGCCUGUAAGACUGGGAUAACUUCGGGAAACCGAAGCUAAUACCGGAUAGAAUCUUCUCCUUCAUGGGAGAUGAUUGGAAGAUGGUUUCGGCUAUCACUUACAGAUGGGCCCGCGGUGCAUUAGCUAGUUGGUGAGGUAACGGCUCACCAAGGCAUCGAUGCAUAGCCGACCUAAGAGGGUGAUCGGCCACACUGGGACUGAGACACGGCCCAGACUCCUACGGGAGGCAGCAGUAGGGAAUCUUCCGCAAUGGACGAAAGUCUGACGGAGCAACGCCGCGUGAGUGAUGAAGGCUUUCGGGUCGUAAAACUCUGUUGUUAGGGAAGAACAAGUACGAGAGUAACUGCUCGUACCUUGACGGUACCUAACCAGAAAGCCACGGCUAACUACGUGCCAGCCGCCGCAGUAACAC